rnacentral:rRNA from 1 species
GACGAACGCUGGCGGCGUGCUUAACACAUGCAAGUCGAACGGAAAGGCCCUGCUUUUGUGGGGUGCUCGAGUGGCGAACGGGUGAGUAACACGUGAGUAACCUGCCCUUGACUUUGGGAUAACUUCAGGAAACUGGGGCUAAUACCGGAUAGGAGCUCCUGCUGCAUGGUGGGGGUUGGAAAGUUUCGGCUGUUGGGGAUGGACUCGCGGCUUAUCAGCUUGUUGGUGGGGUAGUGGCUUACCAAGGCAUUGACGGGUAGCCGGCCUGAGAGGGUGACCGGCCACAUUGGGACUGAGAUACGGCCCAGACUCCUACGGGAGGCAGCAGUGGGGAAUAUUGCACAAUGGGCGGAAGCCUGAUGCAGCAACGCCGCGUGCGGGAUGACGGCCUUCGGGUUGUAAACCGCUUUCGCCUGUGACGAAGCGUGAGUGACGGUAAUGGGUAAAGAAGCACCGGCUAACUACGUG